rfam:Gossypium raimondii Chr05_contig_434, whole genome shotgun sequence.
UAUUAAAAAUUUUGUCCAUUUGUAUUGUUGAAAAUUGGCGUAGCUAACAGAAUAAUCAUACAAGUGAUAUGUUGCAUUCCACAUGUACAUCAUGCAGACGUAUAUAGACCAAGUUUUAACAGUAGAAAUGUAUGAAAUUUUUAAUA